CACUGCCGAGAAAAGCCUCUAGAUAGAAAAUAGGUGCCCGUACCGCAAACCGACACAGGUAGUCAAGAUGAGAAUUCUAAGGUGAGCGAGCGAACUCUCGUUAAGGAACUCGGCAAAAUGACCCCGUAACUUCGGGAGAAGGGGUGCUCUUUAGGGUUAACGCCCAGAAGAGCCGCAGUGAAUAGGCCCAAGCGACUGUUUAUCAAAAACACAGGUCUCUGCUAAACCGUAAGGUGAUGUAUAGGGGCUGACGCCUGCCCGGUGCUGGAAGGUUAAGAGGAGUGGUUAGCUUCUGCGAAGCUACGAAUCGAAGCCCCAGUAAACGGCGGCCGUAACUAUAACGGUCCUAAGGUAGCGAAAUUCCUUGUCGGGUAAGUUCCGACCCGCACGAAAGGCGUAACGAUUUGGGCACUGUCUCAACGAGAGACUCGGUGAAAUCAUAGUACCUGUGAAGAUGCAGGUUACCCGCGACAGGACGGAAAGACCCCGUGGAGCUUUACUGUAGCCUGAUAUUGAAAUUCGGCACAGCUUGUACAGGAUAGGUAGGAGCCUUUGAAACGUGAGCGCUAGCUUACGUGGAGGCGCUGGUGGGAUACUACCCUAGCUGUGUUGGCUUUCUAACCCGCACCACUUAUCGUGGUGGGAGACAGUGUCAGGCGGGCAGUUUGACUGGGGCGGUCGCCUCCUAAAAGGUAACGGAGGCGCUCAAAGGUUCCCUCAGAAUGGUUGGAAAUCAUUCAUAGAGUGUAAAGGCAUAAGGGAGCUUGACUGCGAGACCUACAAGUCGAGCAGGGUCGAAAGACGGACUUAGUGAUCCGGUGGUUCCGCAUGGAAGGGCCAUCGCUCAACGGAUAAAAGCUACCCCGGGGAUAACAGGCUUAUCUCCCCCAAGAGUUCACAUCGACGGGGAGGUUUGGCACCUCGAUGUCGGCUCAUCGCAUCCUGGGGCUGUAGUCGGUCCCAAGGGUUGGGCUGUUCGCCCAUUAAAGCGGUACGCGAGCUGGGUUCAGAACGUCGUGAGACAGUUCGGUCCCUAUCCGUCGUGGGCGUAGGAAAUUUGAGAGGAGCUGUCCUUAGUACGAGAGGACCGGGAUGGACAUACCUCUGGUGUACCAGUUGUCGUGCCAACGGCAUAGCUGGGUAGCUAUGUGUGGACGGGAUAAGUGCUGAAAGCAUCUAAGCAUGAAGCCCCCCUCAAGAUGAGAUUUCCCAACUUCGGUUAUAAGAUCCCUCAAAGAUGAUGAGGUUAAUAGGUUCGAGGUGGAAGCAUGGUGACAUGUGGAGCUGACGAAUACUAAU
rnacentral:rRNA from 1 species